GAGAGAUAUAAGCCCUCAGACAGGGUGCUGGUGGCAGAGCCUAGGGAACCAUGGAGGAACUCUGAAUUGGUUACUGGAACACAACCAGGACAAGGCCCUGAGACUGUGUGAGAGUUGGCCAGAGGGCUGUGUUACUAAAGACUCACCACAAUUGUUGGUGAGAGAGUGCAGGCACAAACCCUGGAUUAAAGGGGCAUUUGUGAGAGGAAAGUACUUCGACAGUGAAUAAAACGUACUCUGUACAUGCAACUUGUUGAAAUGGGAGCGUCACAACUUAGGUAACUCACUUCAAGAUCCUUGAAGGGAAGACACUGCAGAAGUGCAAAGUAUCUUAUAAAAGUUUCUAGUGACAGGAGAGCUGAAAAGAAAUCAAUUUCUUCAAUACCAAGAUAACCAAAUGUUCCGACCACCUGAUCCAUCGAGGAUCCAGGGAACAGGAAUGUGGGAAC